rnacentral:rRNA from 1 species
AGCGAACGCUGGCGGCAGGCCUAACACAUGCAAGUCGAACGAACCCUUCGGGGUUAGUGGCGGACGGGUGAGUAACACGUGGGAACGUGCCUUUAGGUUCGGAAUAACUCAGGGAAACUUGUGCUAAUACCGAAUGUGCCCUUCGGGGGAAAGAUUUAUCGCCUUUAGAGCGGCCCGCGUCUGAUUAGCUAGUUGGUGAGGUAAUGGCUCACCAAGGCUACGAUCAGUAGCUGGUCUGAGAGGAGGACCAGCCACAUUGAGACUGAGACACGGCCCAAACUCCUACGGAAGGCAGCAGUGGGGAAUCUUGCGCAAUGGGCGAAAGCCUGACGCAGCCAUGCCGCGUGGAUGAUGAAGGUCUUAGGAUUGUAAAAUCCUUUCACCGGUGAAGAUAAUGACUGUAGCCGGAGAAGAAGCCCCGGCUAACUUCGUGCCAGCAGCCGCCGCUGUAA